AAAUUGAAGAGUUUGAUCAUGGCUCAGAUUGAACGCUGGCGGCAGGCCUAACACAUGCAAGUCGAACGGUAACAGGAAGCAGCUUGCUGCUUUGCUGACGAGUGGCGGACGGGUGAGUAAUGUCUGGGAAACUGCCUGGAGGAGGGGGAUAACUACUGGUAAUGGGAGCUAAUACCGCCUAACGUCGCAAGACCAAAGAGGGGGACCGUCGGGCCUCUUGCCAUCGGAUGUGCCCAGAUGGGAUUAGCCAGUAGGUGGGGUAACGGGUCACCUAGG
rnacentral:rRNA from 1 species